GAAACUUACGUCACACCUGCACUGAACCAUUCAUUUCCUCUAUUACAGUUUAUUUCCUCAUAUGGAGUGUAUAUAAGACAGAAAUAAAUUGAAAACUUAUCAAAACAUUUCUGUACACCGUUAAAUAACGAUACGCAUAUAUUCAAGGUAAGUUAUAUGUCUAUAAUGAAUUUAUUUUUCAAAAUAUAAUAGAUUAUAUUUUAAUGUAUGCAAUUAAUGUUUAAUUUAAAGAACAACAACGUCUAUCUUGUUAAAACAAUAGAUUCGCAGUAUAAGAUAUAUGAAUAAUGAUGAUGAUUAUGAUUUGAGCAUGAAAUAUUUCUAGCAACGUCAAAUCAUCUAAAAUCACGGAUUCAAAAGAUAUAAGAAUAGUCCUAAUCAGUUAAAAACAAUUCGAGGAUUAACAGAUAAAUGUCUUUUUCUUAAUACUAUAAUGUAUGGCAAUAAUACAUUUUCCAUGGUGAAUCCUGCAGAUAAGUGUUGCAGUCCUCGUUUAAAGCAUCAGAUAUAUUGGUUUCAAUUAUUUUUUCAUUUUUUAGUGACAUUUUCAAACCAAUCAAUUUUAGUUGCAUUUGUUUUAAUAUUCAUUCUAGGUAUAAUGGAAGGGAAAGCUGUUAUCAUUUUCUUUGGCUUUAUAGCAUGUGCUUUUGCUGGUAUGUAUUUUAUGACGUUAUAUAUUUUUAUUAUUGUUCAAAUGAGGAUUUAUACAAAGGAAUAAGUCAUGAGCAAUCAUUUUUAAAACUUUACAGACCAAAUUUUUGAAAACAAACUAUCAUAAGAUUCUUUAAAAAAAUGAUUAAAAUACAUGAAUGUUAAAAUUAACAUACAAACAAGGAUACAUCGUUUCAGCACUUGGCUUAUACGUUUACCAUUCCUCAUAAGGAAACAAUCGCAGAAAACAAGGAAAUUUGAAAUCAUUUAAGGAAAAAAAUUGUAAAAGGAAAAUAAAAAAUGACGGAUACAUAAAAUAAGAGAACCUUAUAUAUUGUAUUUAGAGCACAAAUAAAAUUAACGACCCAGUGGUAGUAAUAAAAUUAACGGUACCAAUUUUCUUGCACCAGAUGCGCAUUUCGAUAAUACAUGUCUCUUCAGUGAUGCUCGUGGCCAAAAUAUUUGAAUCCAAAGCUUAUAUAAAUGAUGAAGAGCUAUAAUCCAAAAGGUCCAAAAAGUAUAGCCAAAUUCGUGAAAGGAAUCAGAGCUUUUCAUGAGGGAGAUACAUUCUUUAAUUUAUAAUAAUUUCUAUCAUUUUGUAACAGCAAAUUUUUAUAACACAAAAAAAUCCGUAUUUUCAUGCCAGUACCGAAUUACUGGCUACUGGGCUGGUAAUACCCUCGGGGACUAAUAGUCCACCAGCAGAGGCAUCGACCCAGUGGUAGUAAUAAAAUUAACGGUACUAAUUUUCUUGCACCAGAUGCGCAUUUCGACAAUACAUGUCUCUUCAGUGAUGCUCGUGGCCAAAAUAUUUGAAAUCCAAAGCUUAUUUAAAAGAUGAAGAGCUAUAAUCCAAAAGGUCCAAAAGGUAUAGCAACAUCCGUGAAAGGAAUCAGAGCUUUGCAUGAGGGAGAUACAUUCCUUAAUUUAUGAUAAUUUCUAUCAUUUUGUAACAGCAAAUUUUUAUAACACAAAAAAAUCCGUAUUUUCAUGCCAGUACCGAAGUACUAGCUACUGGGCUGGUGAUAACUUCGGGGACUAAUAGUCCACCAGCAGAGCAUCGACCCUGUGGUAGUAAUAAAAUUAACGGUACAAAUUUUUCUUGCGCCAGAUGCGCAUCUCGACAAUACAUGUCUCUUCAGUGAUGCUCGUGGCCAAAAUAUUGAAAUCCAAAGCUUAUAUAAAAGAUGAAGAGCUAUAAUCCAAAAGGUCCAAAAAGUAUAGCCAAAUCCGUGAAAGAAUCAGAGCUUUGCAUGAGGAGAUACAUUCCUUAAUUUAUAAUAAUUUCUAUCAUUUUGUAACAGCAAAUUUUAUAACACAAAAAAAUCCGUAUUUUCAUGCCAGUACCAAGUACUGGCUACUGGGCUGGUGAUACCAUCGGGAACUAAUAGUCCACCAGCAGAUGGCAUCGACCCAGUGGUAGUAAUAAAAAUUAACGGUACCAAUUUUCUUGCACCAGAUGCGCAUUUCGACAAUACAUGUCUCUUAGUUCAGUGAUGCCUGUGGCCAAAAUAUUGAAAAUCCAAGCUUUAUAUAAAAGAUGAAGAGCUAUAUCCAAAAGGUCCAAAACUAUAGCCAAAUCCGUGAAAGGAAUCAGAGCUUUGAUGAGGGAGAUACAUUCCUUAAUUAUAAUAAUUUCUAUCAUUUUGUAACAGCAAAUUUUUAUAACACAAAAAAUCGUAUUUUCAUGCCAGUACCGAAAAGUACUGGCUACUGGGCUGGUGAUACCCUCGGGAUAAUAGUCCACCAGCAGAGGCAUCGACCCAGUGGUAGUAAUAAAAUUAACGGUACCAAUUUUCUUGCACCAGAUGCGCAUUUGACAAUACAUGUCUCUUCAGUGAUGCUCGUGGCCAAAAUAUUUGAAAUCCAAAGCUUAUAUAAAAGAUGAAGAGCUAUAAUCCAAAAGUCCAAAAAGUAUAGCCAAAUCCGUGAAAGGAAUCAGAGCUUUGCAUGAGGGAGAUACAUUCCUUAAUUUAUAAUAAUUUCUAUCAUUUUGUAACAGCACAUUUUUAUAACACAAAAAAAUCCGUAUUUUCAUGCCAGUACCGAAGUACUCAAACAUGGUUUUCUAUUGGUGUUAGUAAAUUAGAACAGCGGUUUUUGAUUUAAAAAAAUAAGUAAUAGAACAAAGAGUUCCAAAAAAAUAUCAUUUUUUUUUUUGGGGUUAUUGUUAGAGAAAAUGAAAAUAAAUCUAUUUUACCUUUUUGCUACGAGUAAAAAGCUUAUUUUACUUUCACCACUAACGCUGAAACUACGAAAGCACUUAUACUCUAUGCAAUAUUUAUAUCAAUAUUGCAAUGUAUAAUACACAUUUUGAUGGUAAAAAAUAUCGAAACUGAAUAAUAUUUAAAAUCUAAGCUACUUCAUUGAAGAGUCUUAUGUUGACGAAAAGCGCAACUGGCUUAUCAAAUUAUAAGCCUGGUACCUUUUAUAUUUUACGAAUGAUAAUUCAUAUUUCAACAUUUCUAAUUAAAAUUUAUUAUUACAGUAUAUUCACCCAAAGGCGGGAAAGUUUGUGAAAUUGAAUGCUCCAGUCAUUCAGAAUGUCUAGAUGGAUACAAAUGCCAAACCGAAGGAUGUGAUCGUAUGUGCAGACCUGGAAAAGUAAUUUUAUCUAAUGCAGUUGUCGGAUCAGACAUUAUUUCAGCUGGAUGCGUUCAGAGAUGUAUGGACCGAGGUGGGCUAGGUUGCAGAAGUCUUUGUCAGCGUAGUGCAGAUUUAUUAUCAGGAGGCCAAAUCAUUCGUAGUGGUUCCUUAGACAGUAGAUUCAAUGAUGCCUUAGUAGAUUCUAUUCGGCCAGAUAGUCUUGUUAGACAUACCUCGUCAUUAGGUGAUUCUAUUCGGUCAGGUAGUCUUGUUAGACAUAUCUCGCCAGUAGGUGAUUCUAUUCGGUCAGAUAGUCUUCUUGGACGUAUCUCACCAGUAGGUGAUUCUAUUCGAUCAGGUAGUCUUGUUAGACAUAUCUCGCCAGUAGGUGAUUCUAUUCGGUCAGGUAGUCUUCUUGGACGUAUCUCGCAAGUUGGUUCAAUUUUACAUAAAGGCUGUCAAAAUACAUGCAUUUCACGAGGCUGCAACUUCAACGAGGAAUGUGUCACACGAGAUGGAUGUUCUGUAUGUGUUCGUGCCAAGACCUACGCAUAAGAUAAGACAACAGAUGACAUAAUAUAUUGUGCAAUAUUUAAAUGAUAGUUAUCCAUUGAUCGUGAUAUUUUAUAAUUUUGUUUUGAUACACAAAUAAAGUAUUUAUUAUAACAGAGUUUAUUUUAAUUUUGGUCUUAGAUUUACAGCUGCCUCUAAUGCAUGUUAAAAAACAAAAUCAGCAACAAAUCGUUACCUUAGAAACUUCUAACUGAAAUAUAAG
rnacentral:lncRNA from 1 species